CCUAUAUUUUAUCUCAGAAUAAAAUAUGGGCAAUAGUUUUGAUGUGAAAAUGAAAUCACUUACUUGUAAGUGCAUUCUACGCGCUCAUGAUUUAAAUUAUAUGCACAAAUCUUGAAGGACGUAUUUAUUUUUUCUUAAAUAAUGCAUGAAUUGACUUAAUGCUAGCUGGUGUGACCUUUUUUCAUAGUCAAGCAGAUAAGCUGAUGCGGACAUCCAGGCUAUGACAAUAGAUGCGGACUUCCAGGCUAUGACAAUAGAUGCGGACAUCCAGGCUAUGACAAUAGAUGCGGACUUCCAGGCUAUGACAAUAGAUGCGGACUUCUAGGGCGAGGCUAUGACAAUAGUCUUAUUUUGAAAAUGAUGCAGGUUAAAGGGCGAAAAUAAGUGCAUCUUUCGUUGCAGUAUAUGUAAUGAGGAAUUUUACAUCAGGUGAGGAUUGAGAUACCAUGCCCCAUUCAUGGACCACAUGAGUUUAAAUGUAGAAUAUGCAAGAAAGAAUCCUUCAACAAAGCCGGACCCUACAGCAAAUGAAAAAACACGAACCAAACAAAACAUGUAAAGCUGAUGUUUGUAGUGUUUUUGUUUUAUUUAUAAAGUCUACAUAGACACGUCUGACAUAUAAUUGCUAUGAGUGCUACUUACUUACACGUUUUAUUCCGUAUAUGUCAUGAAUGCUAGUUUCUCACUUUGUAAUGAAAAUAAAUCAUUAUCUGUGU